CCAGCAAAACCAACUCCUGCUCUUCCUCUUCAAUGUGAAGAUGGGGGUGAAGAAAAGGAUGAAGACCUUUAUCCUCCAUUUAAUGAAUAGAGGAAGCAUGAAAACAUUUUAAUUGUCCAGUUCUGGAGGAAAUGGAACUUGAAAAUCAAGGUGGUAGGUGCAUUGAGCUCAACCAUUGGGAAAAAAGGUUAUUAGAGAAUGAAGCAAUGACUCGUUCUCACACCCAGAAUCAAGUACUGUCUCGAAUCACUCUGGCAUUAAUGGAGGACACUGGGAGGCAGAUGCUGAGCCCUUACUGUGAAACUCUCAAAAGUAACCCACUGCAGUUAACUUGCAGACAGGACCAGAGAGCAGUUGCAGUGUGUAAUUUGCAGAAGUUUCCUAAACGUUUGCCACAGGAAUACCAGUGCUUUGAUGAACUCAGUGGCCUACCUGCAGAAGAUUUGCAUUAUUAUGGUGGCUCUGUGGAAAUUGCUGACUCUUGCCCUUUCAGUCAGGAAUUCAGUUGGCAUUUAAGUGGUGAAUAUCAGCUCAGCUCAGAUUGUAGAAUAUUGGAAAAUCAACCAGAAAUUUUUAAGAACUAUGGUGCUGAAAAGUGUGGACCUCACUCAGUUUGUCUAAUUCAGAAAUCAGCAUUUGUUAUGGAAAAGUGUGAGAAGAAGCUGAGUUACCCAGACUGGGGGAGCGGAUGUUAUCAGGGUUUUGCCCUGUCACCCAGGCUAGAGGCGAUGGCAUAAUCAUGGCUCACUGCAGCUGCGAAUUCCCAGGCUCAGGUGAUUCUCCCAUGUCAGCCAUCUGAGUAGUUGGAACUAUAGGCGCACACCACCACACCUGGGUUUCUUGUUCUUCCCAAGGUCUGAAGGUUUGGGUCCAUGAUAGUUCAUAUUUAUGUAGUCGGGCUGGGCAGGUCCUCCCCGUCAUAUUCAGAUGAAUGGCUGGAUUCAUGAUUGAAACCUGCUCUGCCCAUCGUGUUGGGACUUCUGUGAGGAAGGACUGUCUGUGAGGACUUUCUGUCCUCCAGAAACAGAUCCUCCAGCUACUAACCUGACCCAAGCUCUGCCACUGGGUGAGUACUCUCUAUGGUUGGAAUAAAGAGGGAAAAGCAAAGGAGGCAAACUUCUCUUAUAAAAUGUUGAAAUUUCCCUUUAAGAAAACUCUGAAACAAGUUGAAUUUCUUCCCUUCUUUUAUGGGAAAAUCCUCCUUCCCACCGUUAUCAGAAAUUGAAGAUAGGUCAACUUGACACUUUUGGGUAAGAGCAAGGGUGAGGAACCUUUCUGUGUGAAGAACCUCUGAGUUGCACAAAACUAUUCAUCAAAGAUCACAAAAAGUGAAUGUUUUAUCCAUUCAUUUGGAAAUUGAAGGUAAACAAAAUUCUGUUCAUUAAAUACAAAAAGUGAUUAAAUAUAUCUUAGUCGUAUCAUAAUCAGCUGAAGGGAAGGUGAGGGAAAGACCUGGAAGAGAUACUCAAAAAAGGAAUUGGCAUACCCACAAAGAGGAGAAAGAUGCAAGGAGACACAAAUACACACGCACAAAAUGAGACAGAAAGACAUGGGCUGGCAAAGACCAGGGGGGUUUCAUUGAGGAAUAGCACCAUGUACUCGUUCUGUGUGACUCCAGAGAAUGGAACUGGCACUAAGAGAUUGAAGCUGUAAGGAGACAGAUUCCAGUUAAAUCCUUUAGAAGCAGGAGGGGAAUGCAGAGGACGCCCUUGAGAAGAAUGCGUUCCCCAUAAAAUUGACGGUAUUCAAACUGAGGCUGAUAACACAUUGUUGAGAGUAUAAAAGCAGAAUUAAUGAAUUCACAAUUAAAGCUUUGAUUUAAAUGACCUGUGAGAUUUUUAUGGCAGUUCGACAUUUCAGAUUUUGAACAAUAAAAAUGUUAUGCAGUGUU